AUACAAAUAAGAAACACCACAAAUAUUAAGAAUAACUUUGAUCUUGCAGGAUUGGCAAUUCACCCUCUGGACUAAAGAUGCUUGACGAAGGUUGGCUAAGGAAGCACGCAUAUGUGAAAUUUUGCUGUUUAAUAAUGUCACCUGGAGGGUGUCUCAUUGCUUGCUGAAAUCAGUGGAAAGUGUGUCAUUGAAUGGCAUCUUCAGGAAGUUCAUGCAGGCCACUGCAUCUCAUCCUUUUACAGGAUAACUCCUUCUGCUCUGGAAUAGAAGAGGUGAAAAACCUGAAGGCCAUGUAUAAUUUGGACAUCCCUUAAAGACCUCAGUGUUUUUGAUCUGUGGUUUGGGAGCUUUACUUGUUCCUGUUCCAUGUUUAUUGAAUUUUGAAAUACAUAUAUGUCCCACAGGUGGACAUGUUUGGUAUCAGACUCUAACCUCAAUAUAUUUUCUCUUACUCUUUAUUUUUUACUUUUUUUUUCUUUUUUUCUUCUGCGGAUUUGGGAAUAAAUGAUUAUAUUUUUACGUUAAGUACUUUUAA
rnacentral:lncRNA from 1 species